CAGCCACAUUGAAACACAGGUACCCGUACGAUUACCGACGUUAAGCACCGUCGAAUCUGGUCAGUAACUAGGUGGGUGACCGCUUGGGAAUACCAGGUGCAGUAAG